AACGUAGGAGACAAACGUUAUCCGGAGUUACUGGGCGUAAAGGGCGUGUAGGCGGUCUGUUAAGUCUGGCGUGAAAGCUCUCGGCUAAACCGGGAGAGGUCGUUGGAUACUGGCAGACUAGAGGACGGUAGAGGCGUGUGGAAUUCCGGGUGUAGUGGUGAAAUGCGUAGAGAUCCGGAGGAACACCAGUGGCGAAGGCGGCUCGCUGGGCCGUUCCUGACGCUCAGGUGCGAAAGCGUGGGGAGCAAACAGG
rnacentral:rRNA from 1 species